UCUCUGAUGGUCCAGUGGCUAAGACUCUGAGCUCCCAAUGCAGGGGGCCUGGGUUCGAUCCCUGGUCAGGGAA
rnacentral:tRNA from 1 species